CUAUUUUCAAUUCCCAGGAUAAAAAAUUUCGCUUUUCAAGGAUAUUUUAAUUCCGAAGAUCUUUAAUAUGUGCAUCCUGUGAAAAUGUUUACGCAUUCAUGGCUUCAACAAGGUUCAGGCAUUCAAAUUAGAACAAUGGUGAAUUUCUAAGGGUAGCGGUUUUUUUGAGACACCCUGUAUGACUAACACUGACAUGGAAAGUUGAUGAUUCAACGGACAAUAGUCAAUACUCUUCCCAACACAUUCCAUAGAUUUUUUAUUAAUCCUAUAGUAUUGUUAGC